rnacentral:lncRNA from 1 species
AACGAUAUUGGCAUUAUUAGAAUAAGAAUUGUACCAUCUACCCCAGACGACAAAUGCCCGUGACCAGGGGGGGAAAUCUGUUAUUCUAUUAGGGGUUCGAGGGUAUAUAUGACAAUUAGCAACUAUAUUUUAUAUCUUGUGUAUCUAUAAAUUCUUUCAGUGGUCGUCGACAAUUAUCUAUUUUUGACAUGUUGAAGUAAACAAUAAUAGUACGAAUAUCACGUCUGAGUUUGGUGUUUGUUUCUUCAUCUAACUUUUCUCUUCAUGCGUUGUAGUUAUG